GAUGAACGCUGGCGGCGUGCCUAAUACAUGCAAGUCGAGCGAACAGACGAGGAGCUUGCUCCUCUUACGUUAGCGGCGGACGGGUGAGUAACACGUGGAUAACCUACCUAUAAGACUGGGAUAACUUCUGGAAACCGGAGCUAAUACCGGAUAAUAUAUUUAACCGCAUGGUUCAAUAGUGAAAGACGGUUUUGCUUUCACUUAUAGAUGGAUCCUCGCCGCAUUAGCUAGUUGGUAAGGUAACGGCUUACCAAGGCAACGAUGCGUAGCCGACCUGAGAGGGUGAUAGGCCACACUGGAACUGAGACACGGUCCAGACUCCUACGGGAGGCAGCAGUAGGGAAUCUUCCGCAAUGGGCGAAAGCCUGACGGAGAAACGCCGCGUGAGUGAUGAAGGUCUUCGGAUCGUAAAACUCUGUUAUUAGGGAAGAACAAAUGUGUAAGUAACUAUGCACGUCUUGACGGUACCUAAUCAGAAAGCCACGGCUAACUACGUG
rnacentral:rRNA from 1 species